UCAAAUUCCUAUAAAUCAGCUUAAUAAAAUUUCAAUCAUGGAGUGCUUCUGAUUUUCUGUUCAGUUUCCAUAACCAGCAAAAUACUCCUCCGCUUCUAUCCUCCUUUAGAGUCUAUCUGCUUCUGAGCUUUGUCCAUGUGUAAACUCUAUCGAGUCUGGCCUAAGUAAACUCUGAUCAGUCUUUAGCAUAAACUCUGAUCAGCUUUUUGUUAAACUCUGAUCACUCCUGUUCUUAAACAAAAUUUAGAACAUUAGUAAUCAUCAAUUAUAUCUAACAUAUUUUCUCGGCCGAUCAUUAGGGUUUCGUUUCUACUCCAAUUCUAUAUCUACUGUAAAAAAAAUUGAUGUUUAUAUAUCUCAUUGUAUUUAGUUUCCUUUUUUUUGUAGUCUAAGUGUUUGAUUAAUGGUCUAAGAGAGUUGUAGUUUUUUUAGUGUUCUUCUGAUGUCCAUUCUCCACUGUCUAACAUAACCAACCUUGGGAGAGUUGUUAGCAUUAGAAGAAGUAUCUACUUCUUUCAGGAGAAAGGUUAAUGUAAACCGGGAGAACGUUGGUCUGUAUAAUUCAGACAAACUGAAAGGUAAUCAUCUUCUCAGUGAAUUUUGGACGUACUGUGUUUUAUGUUAUUAAAUUCGUUGUUAUUUUUCCUUUUUCUUCUUAACAAUUGAUAUGUUGUGAUAUCUCGUAGAACCUUUCCGCAACAAUUGAUAUCCCAUGGUUCUAUGUAAGUUAUGAGUUAUCCACUUCACGUACUCUAGAUGCGGGUUUUAAAUUUUUAGGUGCUACUUACACCCACCUACCUUAUGAUUGUGAUGGAUAUGCUUCUGGAGGCUAGCGUUUUGAACGCACUUUAGGUGCAGGCAUAUUUAGUGAAGAUGAGGCUCAAAACUUCUUUCAGCAACUAAUCUCAGGAGUAAGCUACUGUCAUUCAAUGCAAGUAUCUCAUGGGGACUUGAAUCUGGCCAACAUUAUGCUAGAUGGAAGCCCUGCAAGAAGAUUGUAAAUAUGUGAUUUUGACUUCUCAACGGUGAAUCUUUUAUAGACGCGGAUACAAUUGAUGGAAUGGUUGAUACAAUCUGAGUCAACCAGAUAAAAAUAUGUAACAGAGACAAAGUCAAAUGGUGCAUGUUCAUUUUUUAAGUUUGUUUUUACUGGAAAUCUGCAGACCUUUGAUAAGAUGACACUUCUUUUGUAUUUGGAGCAAAUUAAUGCUACUGCUGGUUUUUACAGACAAUAAGGUGCAUGGGAAACAUGGGCAAACUGGCCAUUCUGGAGAACUGGAACUUGGAACUCGCAAACUCCUAAAACAGUGAGUGAUCCAAUGUUCGACGUUAGUUUUGAUUGUGACAAGGAGAACGAUGGAGUUCCAAGGGCAUUUAUCAUUAAGAAUAAUCAUCAUCAUGAAUUCUACCUUAAGACCCUUACUCUUGAAGAUGUUCCUGGCCACAAUCGUGUUCAUUUUAUUUGCUUGCCACAUUUUACAAGAAAAAAUUGAAGAAAUAGUAAAACUAUAUGAAGGGGAGAUCAAACUAUAUGAUGGCCCUGUAUUGUCAAGUGUUCGAGAUCGUAUAUCAUCACAAAUUCUCAGAAAACUACUUUGAAGUGAUGGUGAGCCAGUGUUUCAAAUCCCUAUGCCACAAGUGAUUAAAGAUGAAGUGCGCAAAAAGGGUGGACUGAAGUGCGUGAAAAGGGUCAUGGUGACAAGAAAGAUGAACCUUGGUGGCCUAAAAUGCAGACUCGAAAUGAGCUAAUAGAGUCAUGUACUACCAUAAUUUGGCUGGCUUCUGCUCUUCAUGCAGCAGUAAACUUUGGACAAUAUCCAUAUGAUGGCUACCUCCCUAACUGUCCAGCAAUGAGUAGGCGCUUCAUUCCUGUUCCUGGCACAUAGGAAAAUUGAGUUUUGUAGAAUAUGCUUCUUUUUCUUCUGAUUUGCAUAAAGAAAAGGAAGAUGUUUAGGUUAAUUCGAAAGUGCUAAGAUUUUCCCAUGAAGUGUUUAUGAGUUCUUAUCUAUUUUUGGUCAUGUAAAGUUAAAUGUGCUAAGAUUUGCAUGAACAAAGGAAGAUGUUGACAUGUGUAAGAGUUUGUCUAUAUUUUCCUGUGUACCAGAUUUUUUUUA